UUUGUGCAGGAAAAUACAAGCCUAUCUACAAAUCAGUGUAUAUGCGAGCUAUCAAGCCCAACAUGGCAUCUCUUUUAGAAGAAGGAGGUAAAGUUGUGGUCUCCCGUACAAGGGUAUCGACGCGAGCCAACAGAUCUACAACCAUAUACAUGGUGACUCUAUUCUCAUCAAUGUACGUCCUCAUCUCUGCAAUUAUGCCAGUGGUAAGAGGCCUCACUGCAGUACUAUCUAUAACGGCUACGUCUCGGGAAGAUAUGGCGCUAUCCCUCUCGACUGCCACGGCAUCUCUGACUGAUUUGGCAUCAUCCCGCUCAACAACCACUACUAGAAAAUCGACCUAUAGCUACGGUCGGCGACCGUCGCUAUAGGCCAAAAGACCGUCGCUAAAGGUUUUAGCGACGUUCGCCGACUGUCGCUAUAGAAGCCAUCGCUAAAGGUUUUAGUGACGGUCUUUUGGCCUAUAGCGACGGUCGGCGACCGUCGUUAUAGGUCAUGGUAAAAUCAUGUAUUUUCUCUUUACCAACGAUCGCUGAAAGUUAUUGCUACGGUCGACGACCGUCGC
rnacentral:lncRNA from 1 species